rnacentral:rRNA from 1 species
UCCUGGCUCAGAUUGAACGCUGGCGGCAUGCCUUACACAUGCAAGUCGAACGGUAACAGGUCUUCGGAUGCUGACGAGUGGCGAACGGGUGAGUAAUACAUCGGAACGUGCCCGAUCGUGGGGGAUAACGAAGCGAAAGCUUUGCUAAUACCGCAUACGAUCUACGGAUGAAAGCAGGGGACCGCAAGGCCUUGCGCGAACGGAGCGGCCGAUGGCAGAUUAGGUAGUUGGUGGGAUAAAAGCUUACCAAGCCGACGAUCUGUAGCUGGUCUGAGAGGACGACCAGCCACACUGGGACUGAGACACGGCCCAGACUCCUACGGGAGGCAGCAGUGGGGAAUUUUGGACAAUGGGCGAAAGCCUGAUCCAGCCAUGCCGCGUGCAGGAUGAAGGCCUUCGGGUUGUAAACUGCUUUUGUA